UCCUUUUAUUUAAAUUUCUUUUAGAUUUCAAUUAAAAUGAAUUUAAUUACAUAGUCGGCUUAAGUCCUAACAAAUAACGAUCGAAUAUAUUCGCGGGUUAAUGUAUUUUUCCAAAAAGAUCGAAAUAACGAUAAAAAUCGAAUAACGAUAAAUUUCUUUUUAUUUCAGUCUAGUUGGUAAUAGUCGUGCAAUAGGAGUAGAAUUUUAAGUUGCUAAUAUUGAUAUGCCGAUUGACGUUUGUAAGGUGCCAGAAAUAGUUAAAAGAAGAGUAAAGAAAACGAGGGAGAAAUAUUUGUUUUAGGGAGAAUGUCAGAUUCAAUGGUAGAUGAAAGAGUGACUGAUGAAAUCGAAGCCUUAAAAGCUAUUUUAUUAGACGACGAACUGAGCAUAAAAGAAAAUGACAGAGGAGAGCCAGAGUAUAUCGAAACUAUAUUAUUCCCCUCGACUGGAGAAGACUCACAAUCUCAAUAUGUCUGCGUUACCCUUGUCGUACAAUUACCUUAUGGGUAUCCAGAUAUAUCUCCCAAUAUUAGCUUAAGAAAUCCCAGAGGAUUGGAUGAAGAUACAGUAAGGUUAAUGCAAUCCGAUGCUGAAGCUAAAUGUAAAGAUUUUAUUGGACAGCCAGUAAUGUUUGAGUUAAUUGAGUUGAUUAGGGAACAUCUUACGAGAAGCAACUUACCUACAGAUCAAUGCGCUGUUUGCUUAUAUGGCUUUAGAGAAGGCGAUGAAUUUACAAAAACAGAGUGCUAUCAUUACUUUCAUUCUCAUUGCUUAGCGGCACAUGUUGCAGCAGCUGAACGUUAUUACAGAGAAGAACAAGAGAAAUUACCGCAAUGGCAACAAGAUACUACUAACAAAUUUCAGGCUAUUUGUCCUGUUUGCCGGGAAUCUAUACAUUGCGACGUGGAAAGUUUAUGGUCGGCUCCACCUCCUAUUGAUGUGGAAGCAGCCACAGACUUUUCAGUUACCGCUGAAUUAAAAGAGCUUCAAAAGCAAAUGGCAGCAUUAUAUUUGAGACAACAACAAAGAGGUGGUAUCAUUGAUUUAGAAGCCGAAGGGGAAAAAAUGUUGCUAAGAACUGAAGACGAUACUGCUGUUUCCACUGAGAGAUUCAAUCCACCUAGCACUAGCUUAAACACAUAUGCUAAUCAAUCUAUUCAAUCUGUCACUCAAGUGCAAUCUUCGAACAAUACGCAAAACCAACCGCGACAAUUCCAUCACAAUCAUCACGGACAUAAUAAUCAUGGACAUAAUAAUCACGGACAUCGUAACCGAGGUAGAGGACGUGCCCAUUAUCGACGCCAAUUUGAUAAAAUGAGGCAUACCGAAACUACUCCCAGAUGACAAUGGGCUCGAGAUCAAAUAUUAACUGCCUGGUCAUUUACUUUGCUGAGCGUAUUUAAUACAGUGUUAUUGUUCAGCAAUAUUCCCAUUGCACCGGCAUAUAAGAUGGGAUGUGUUGAAAGUUCUAAGGACUGUCUACAUAGACUGAAGCCAUGGUGCUCUUUAAACUGCAAGUGUACAGAUUUUUUCAUUCAGUUUCUAUAUUUUUACAUUCCUGCAAUAAUACCACCUGUGGAAACAUUUUUCGUCGAUAGAACCACGUUAAAGAUAUUUUAACGGUGCUUUAUAAUUAGAAAUUAUCUUUAAAGUAGCAGAUAUAUUAGUAUCCUGCGCAUAUUUCUUAAUGUAGCAUUUCAAAGUGGUUCUCAAUUCGUAAUCCAAUAUGUUUAACUAUACUCAUUUAAUAUCUCUUAUAAAAUGCAUAAGUAAGAAACACAUUCUGCAUAUUCUUAUAGAAUUUUCUUAUUAAAAAAAUACAAAUGUCUCAUCAAUUAAAAUUAUUUAACUUAUGUUAUGUCAAAAUCAACGUGCUUUUUUUAAGCUUUCUAACUUUGUAUUUAGAUUAUUAUUUUUCUAUGCAGGAUAAAGGCAUUGUCUAUUGUAGAUAUUCCUUCAACAUAUAUAAAUUGAACAAAAAUUGUUAAUAGUUUUAAUCUCUUCCACAUGAAUGUGAUAAUUACGAAAGGGUAAUAGUAGGCUAAAAAUGAAAUCUUCAAGUAAUAUCUAUUAAAAUAAUUAAUUUACGAUUGGAAAAGACAUUAUAAUGAUGUUCACUCUUCUAUCAGUAAUAUUAUCAUUUUUCUUCACGAAAUAAUUUAUUACAUGAUGAUGAUUGUUAUAUUUUUUAUGUUAGUUUAAAUAUUACAUUUCAGAAAUACUGAUAAUUAUCAAAUUAAUAAUUGGCGAUGUCAAAUUGUGGACAUAAUCUCUAUUGAUUAUAAGUAUAACGAGUUUUUACUCGAUAGAAAGAAGAACUAUUGAAGAAAUAUCCUUUUUGCCUAA
rnacentral:misc_RNA from 1 species